CCAUAAAUCACCUGGGGAUCUGGGUAAGAUGCAUAUUCUGAUGCACUGGGCCUAGAGCGGCACCAGGUACUCUGCAUUUCUACCAAGCUCCCAGAUGCUCCCUGU
rnacentral:pre_miRNA from 1 species